UAUUCUUUGUGUCCGGCAAAAAUCAUCUCACUCAGCCGGAGCCUAUCCAUGA
rfam:Leclercia adecarboxylata strain I1 Leclercia_S84_R1__paired__contig_20, whole genome shotgun sequence.